rnacentral:lncRNA from 1 species
CCUUCCUCCGGCUGUACUCCAUGAUCCCCUUCACGUGAAGAUUCCGAAAGUGGGUGGCCUCCACGGUGGCUUCAGAGUGGCUCUCCCUCAACCUGUGGAGUUCGCCUUCCAUCUUCUUCGAUCUUUUCGUUAAAUGAAGAACCUCCUUCUUCAGGCGCUGGAUCAUGGACUUCAGCGGAAUCCCCUAAGGCAAGGAAAGCGCUUCGACAGGGCGCUGCCAUCGGGAGGUC